AGUUAGAGGCAUCAACUCCACUUCUGCUACCGGGCAGCUGACAUAGCUGCCUCGAGCCUUCAGCGAACGCAUCUUCCGCAACCCAGCAAUCGACCGAGCCAGUCGAUCCUACCGGCACGCUCAGCACGCUCAGCACUGCAUCACCUCCCAGACAGGCCAGCCAACGCUUGAAUAUUAUAUGUGUAUUCUGUGUUUUGUAUAUUGACUUUAAACGAUUCAAUAUAUACAAUCGUACAGUUUCGUGUGGUUUGUCUAUUGGAGUAUUGACGACAAUCCCGCAUAUCUAUCCACCAAAAGAAUACAAAAUGCAGGUCUCAAGAAGCUGUUCUAAAGAAUCCUUCUCCUUCUUCAAAACAUAAGCAGGUGACAGCCCAAGAGGAAGGACCAGAGUGUCGUGAUGAGUUCUCCAGUGGCUCUCUUGCUGGAUCUUUAGCCAGCGGUAGUUCUGGAUUUGGCAGUUUACCCAAGAAGAGGCCACCCUUAUUUACUUCAGAACUAGUGACUGGAGCUGUGCAGGAUACGUUGGACCCUGCAGAUGCUGCUGGUGAGACAGAUGAGGGUCAUGAGCCAGGACAUUCACGUAACUCUUCCAAC